CGGGAGUAAAGUUUUGUUUAAACCGAAAAAAUAUUGACUGACUUUAGAUUUUUCUUUGGAAUAUGUGUUUUUUUGGAGAGCCCUCUUUUAUAGUGAAUUUUGUUGGCGCAUGUAUGAUUGUUUAGUUUUUACUUUUUUGGUAAUGCUUUGUGUUUUAUACAUUUAAAACAGAUAUAUAUUUG
rnacentral:rRNA from 1 species